GUUGUUAGCUAUGUCUACUGUUUGUCCACAUCUGACUGAGUAACAGACAUAACGGCUAACAUUAACCCAUGUGAAGUAACAUGGAUAAAAAUAACUGAUGAAAGUAUAAAAAGACUGAAAAGUUAAUUUGAAAGAACAUCAUCCUUAUGGGCAUGAAGAACAUAAUCAUUAUGGGCAUGGCAAUGUGUACACAGGACUUCGGUUUUCGUACCAUCCGAACGACCCAACAUUUACCUUGCCAGGCCCUCUCUGUCCAAUACCACUGACAGCGGAAUCCAUGCCGAAACAUAACAGACCAAAGC